CGAAAGCCUGACGGAGCAACGCCGCGUGAGGGAUGAAGGCCUCUGGGCUGUAAACCUCUUUUAUCAAGGAAGAAGAUCUGACGGUACUUGAUGAAUAAGCCACGGCUAAUUCCGUGCCAGCAGCCGCGGUAAUACGGGAGUGGCAAGCGUUAUCCGGAAUUAUUGGGCGUAAAGCGUCCGCAGGCGGCCCAACAAGUCUGCUGUUAAAAAGUGGAGCUUAACUCCAUCAUGGCAGUGGAAACUGUUGGGCUAGAGUGUGGUAGGGGCAGAGGGAAUUCCCGGUGUAGCGGUGAAAUGCGUAGAUAUCGGGAAGAACACCAGUGGCGAAGGCGCUCUGCUGGGCCAUCACUGACGCUCAUGGACGAAAGCCAGGGGAGCGAAAG
rnacentral:rRNA from 1 species